AGCGAACGCUGGCGGCAGGCCUAACACAUGCAAGUCGAACGGAUCCUUCGGGAUUAGUGGCGGACGGGUGAGUAACACGUGGGAACGUGCCCUUUGGUUCAGAACAACUCAGGGAAACUUGAGCUAAUACCGGAUGUGCCCUUCGGGGGAAAGAUUUAUCGCCAUUGGAGCGGCCCGCGUCUGAUUAGCUAGUUGGUGAGGUAACGGCCCACCAAGGCGACGAUCAGUAGCUGGUCUGGGAGGAUGAUCAGCCACACUGGGACUGAGACACGGCCCAGACUCCUACGGGAGGCAGCAGUGGGGAAUCUUGCGCAAUGGGCGAAAGCCUGACGCAGCCAUGCCGCGUGAAUGAUGAAGGUCUUAGGAUUGUAAAAUUCUUUCAGCGGGGACGAUAAUGACGGUACCCGCAGAAGAAGCUCCGGCUAACUUCGUG
rnacentral:rRNA from 1 species